UACGUAGGGUGCGAGCGUUGUCCGGAAUUACUGGGCGUAAAGAGCUCGUAGGCGGUUUGUCGCGUCGUCUGUGAAAUUCCUGCAACUCAAUUGUAGGCGUGCAGGCGAUACGGGCAGACUUGAGUACUACAGGGGGAGACUGGAAUUCCUGGUGUAGCGGUGAAAUGCGCAGAUAUCAGGAGGAACACCGGUGGCGAAGGCGGGUCUCUGGGCCGAUACUGACGCUGAGGAGCGAAAGCGUGGGGAGCGAACAGG
rnacentral:rRNA from 1 species